AGCGCUGGAGCAUCCUGGCGGCGAGUGGCGAACGGGUGAGUAAUACAUCGGAACGUGUCCUGUAGUGGGGGAUAGCCCGGCGAAAGCCGGAUUAAUACCGCAUACGAUCUACGGAUGAAAGCGGGGGAUCGCAAGACCUCGCGCUAUAGGGGCGGCCGAUGGCGGAUUAGCUAGUUGGUGGGGUAAAGGCCCACCAAGGCGACGAUCCGUAGCUGGUCUGAGAGGACGACCAGCCACACUGGGACUGAGACACGGCCCAGACUCCUACGGGAGGCAGCAGUGGGGAAUUUUGGACAAUGGGCGCAAGCCUGAUCCAGCAAUGCCGCGUGUGUGAAGAAGGCCUUCGGGUUGUAAAGCACUUUUGUCCGGAAAGAAAUCCUCUGGGUUAAUACCCCGGGGGGAUGACGGUACCGGAAGAAUAAGCACCGGCUAACUACGUGCCAGCAGCCGCGGUAAUACGUAGGGUGCGAGCGUUAAUCGGAAUUACUGGGCGUAAAGCGUGCGCAGGCGGUGAUGUAAGACCGAUGUGAAAUCCCCGGGCUUAACCUGGGAACUGCAUUGGUGACUGCAUCGCUGGAGUAUGGCAGAGGGGGGUAGAAUCCACGUGUAGCAGUGAAAUGCGUAGAGAUGUGGAGGAAUACCGAUGGCGAAGGCAGCC
rnacentral:rRNA from 1 species